GACGAACCGUGCGAACGUUGUUCGGAAUCACUGGGCUUAAAGGGCGCGUAGGCGGGCGGGCAAGCCGGAGGUGAAAGCCCCCAGCUCAACUGGGGAAGUGCCCUCGAUACUGCCGGCCUGGAGGGAGGUAGGGGCGUGCGGAACUUCCGGUGGAGCGGUGAAAUGCGUAGAUAUCGGAAGGAACACCGGUGGCGAAGGCGGGUCUCUGGACAGUUCCUGACACUGAGGCACGAAGGCCAGGGGAGCAAACGGG
rnacentral:rRNA from 1 species